UUAAGCGACUAAGCGUACACGGUGGAUGCCCUGGCAGUCAGAGGCGAUGAAGGGCGUGCUAAUCUGCGAUAAGCGCCGGUAAGGUGAUAUGAACCGUUAUAACCGGCGAUACCCGAAUGGGGAAACCCAGUGUGACUCGUCACACUAUCAUUAACUGAAUCCAUAGGUUAAUGAGGCGAACCGGGGGAACUGAAACAUCUAAGUACCCCGAGGAAAAGAAAUCAACCGAGAUUCCCCCAGUAGCGGCGAGCGAACGGGGAGGAGCCCAGAGCCUGAAUCAGCAUGUGUGUUAGUGGAAGCGUCUGGAAAGGCGCGCGAUACAGGGUGACAGCCCCGUACACAAAAGCGCAUGUGCUGUGAGCUCGAUGAGUAGGGCGGGACACGUGGUAUCCUGUCUGAAUAUGGGGGGACCAUCCUCCAAGGCUAAAUACUCCUGACUGACCGAUAGUGAACCAGUACCGUGAGGGAAAGGCGAAAAGAACCCCGGCGAGGGGAGUGAAAAAGAACCUGAAACCGUGUACGUACAAGCAGUGGGAGCACAGGUUUACCUGUGUGACUGCGUACCUUUUGUAUAAUGGGUCAGCGACUUAUAUUCUGUAGCAAGGUUAACCGAAUAGGGGAGCCGCAGGGAAACCGAGUCUUAACCGGGCGUUAAGUUGCAGGGUAUAGACCCGAAACCCGGUGAUCUAGCCAUGGGCAGGUUGAAGGUUGGGUAACACUAACUGGAGGACCGAACCGACUAAUGUUGAAAAAUUAGCGGAUGACCUGUGGCUGGGGGUGAAAGGCCAAUCAAACCGGGAGAUAGCUGGUUCUCCCCGAAAGCUAUUUAGGUAGCGCCUCGUGAAUUCAUCUCCGGGGGUAGAGCACUGUUUCGGCUAGGGGGCCAUCCCGGCUUACCAACCCGAUGCAAACUGCGAAUACCGGAGAAUGUUAUCACGGGAGACACACGGCGGGUGCUAACGUCCGUCGUGAAGAGGGAAACAACCCAGACCGCCAGCUAAGGUCCCAAAGUCAUGGUUAAGUGGGAAACGAUGUGGGAAGGCCCAGACAGCCAGGAUGUUGGCUUAGAAGCAGCCAUCAUUUAAAGAAAGCGUAAUAGCUCACUGGUCGAGUCGGCCUGCGCGGAAGAUGUAACGGGGCUAAACCAUGCACCGAAGCUGCGGCAGCGACACUGUGUGUUGUUGGGUAGGGGAGCGUUCUGUAAGCCUGUGAAGGUGGCCUGUGAGGGUUGCUGGAGGUAUCAGAAGUGCGAAUGCUGACAUAAGUAACGAUAAAGCGGGUGAAAAGCCCGCUCGCCGGAAGACCAAGGGUUCCUGUCCAACGUUAAUCGGGGCAGGGUGAGUCGACCCCUAAGGCGAGGCCGAAAGGCGUAGUCGAUGGGAAACGGGUUAAUAUUCCCGUACUUGGUGUUACUGCGAAGGGGGGACGGAGAAGGCUAUGUUGGCCGGGCGACGGUUGUCCCGGUUUAAGCGUGUAGGUGUGUGUUCCAGGUAAAUCCGGUUCACUUUAACACUGAGGCGUGACGACGAGGCACUACGGUGCUGAAGCAACAAAUGCCCUGCUUCCAGGAAAAGCCUCUAAGCAUCAGGUAACAUCAAAUCGUACCCCAAACCGACACAGGUGGUCAGGUAGAGAAUACCAAGGCGCUUGAGAGAACUCGGGUGAAGGAACUAGGCAAAAUGGUGCCGUAACUUCGGGAGAAGGCACGCUGACAUGUAGGUGAAGUGAUUUACUCAUGGAGCUGAAGUCAGUCGAAGAUACCAGCUGGCUGCAACUGUUUAUUAAAAACACAGCACUGUGCAAACACGAAAGUGGACGUAUACGGUGUGACGCCUGCCCGGUGCCGGAAGGUUAAUUGAUGGGGUCAGCGCAAGCGAAGCUCCUGAUCGAAGCCCCGGUAAACGGCGGCCGUAACUAUAACGGUCCUAAGGUAGCGAAAUUCCUUGUCGGGUAAGUUCCGACCUGCACGAAUGGCGUAAUGAUGGCCAGGCUGUCUCCACCCGAGACUCAGUGAAAUUGAACUCGCUGUGAAGAUGCAGUGUACCCGCGGCAAGACGGAAAGACCCCGUGAACCUUUACUAUAGCUUGACACUGAACAUUGAGCCUUGAUGUGUAGGAUAGGUGGGAGGCUUUGAAGUGUGGACGCCAGUCUGCAUGGAGCCGACCUUGAAAUACCACCCUUUAAUGUUUGAUGUUCUAACGUGGACCCGUUACCCGGGUUGCGGACAGUGUCUGGUGGGUAGUUUGACUGGGGCGGUCUCCUCCUAAAGAGUAACGGAGGAGCACGAAGGUUGGCUAAUCCUGGUCGGACAUCAGGAGGUUAGUGCAAUGGCAUAAGCCAGCUUGACUGCGAGCGUGACGGCGCGAGCAGGUGCGAAAGCAGGUCAUAGUGAUCCGGUGGUUCUGAAUGGAAGGGCCAUCGCUCAACGGAUAAAAGGUACUCCGGGGAUAACAGGCUGAUACCGCCCAAGAGUUCAUAUCGACGGCGGUGUUUGGCACCUCGAUGUCGGCUCAUCACAUCCUGGGGCUGAAGUAGGUCCCAAGGGUAUGGCUGUUCGCCAUUUAAAGUGGUACGCGAGCUGGGUUUAGAACGUCGUGAGACAGUUCGGUCCCUAUCUGCCGUGGGCGCUGGAGAACUGAGGGGGGCUGCUCCUAGUACGAGAGGACCGGAGUGGACGCAUCACUGGUGUUCGGGUUGUCAUGCCAAUGGCACUGCCCGGUAGCUAAAUGCGGAAGAGAUAAGUGCUGAAAGCAUCUAAGCACGAAACUUGCCCCGAGAUGAGUUCUCCCUGAGACUUAGAGUCUCCUGAAGGAACGUUGAAGACGACGACGUUGAUAGGCCGGGUGUGUAAGCGCAGCGAUGCGUUGAGCUAACCGGUACUAAUGAACCGUGAGGCUUAACCUU
rnacentral:rRNA from 1 species